GAGAGAGAGAGAGAGAGAGAGAGAAGAGAAAGCGUCGGCGACCGUCAAAGACUUGAAGAGAGAGCGGAAGCGGAAGCGGAAGCG
rnacentral:ribozyme from 1 species